UACGGGGGGUGCGAGCGUUGUCCGGAAUCACUGGGCGUAAAGGGCGCGUAGGUGGCGUGAUAAGGGUGUGGUGAAAGCCCGGGGCUCAACCCCGGGUCUGCCAUGCCGACUGUCAGGCUGGAGUACUGUAGGGGCAGGCGGAAUUCCGGGUGUAGCGGUGGAAUGCGUAGAGAUCCGGAGGAAGACCGGUGGCGAAGGCGGCCUGCUGGGCAGUGGCUGACACUGAGGCGCGACAGCGUGGGGAGCAAACAGG
rnacentral:rRNA from 1 species